rnacentral:rRNA from 1 species
AUUGAACGCUGGCGGCAGGCUUAACACAUGCAAGUCGAGCGGGGACUUCGGUCCUAGCGGCGAACGGGUGGGGAAUGCUUGGGAAUCUGCCCAGUAGCGGGGGAUAACGUUUCGAAAGGAACGCUAAUACCGCAUACGCCCUACGGGGGAAAGGGGGGGAUCUUCGGACCUCGCACUAUUGGAUGAGCCCAAGUCGGAUUAGCUAGUUGGUGGGGUAAAGGCCUACCAAGGCGACGAUCCGUAGCUGGUCUGAGAGGAUGAUCAGCCACACUGGAACUGAGACACGGUCCAGACUCCUACGGGAGGCAGCAGUGGGGAAUAUUGGACAAUGGGCGAAAGCCUGAUCCAGCCAUGCCGCGUGUGUGAAGAAGGCCUUCGGGUUGUAAAGCACUCUAAGCGAGGAGGAAUGGCUCUUGGUUAAUAACCUUGAGCAGUGACGUUACUCGCAGAAUAAGCACCGGCUAACUCUGUGCCAGCCGCCGCAGUAAUAC